rnacentral:rRNA from 1 species
AUGCCUUUGCCGCCGUCCAGAUGCAUGGUGCUCUCCCCGAUCUCCUUCCGCCUCCCCACCCCGAUGGACCCGUACGUCACCGGCGGCACCACCCGACACUCCGGCCGCCCCGAUUGGGCCUUACUUCACAAGUCUGCGCGUAUCUCGGGACACCGGAAGUCGACCAUCGCCGGCUGCCACACGAUGGAGGGUCAUCCCAUCGAGGCGUCCUUCUGGCUCGUCGACCCACCGGGAGUCUCCUACUUAUCCGUCCAAUGCCCUGGCCUCAGCAAGGACUUCCAGGGCGAGCCCUACGUCCACUGCGUGGAGGCCGCCCUCGUCCUCUUCAGCGUGACCUUUGUCCCCCUCCCUGGCCGGAGAUCCAUCCAGCACUUCAUCUACAGAGCCGGCCCGGGGGCGCCCUUCAAGAUCGAGAUUACCUCAUUCAUGGCAGCCACACCAUCUCUUUCUGCCUCUAGUAGAGCCUCAAGAACUAUAAUAUCUAUGCUCAGACUGCUCUCUGGCGGUGUUGCCUCUGAACUGCUACCAUCUGGUAACAUGGAUGGCGCACUGCUUCCACAAAUAGAUUAUGGGGUUGUACAUUGUGUCCUAGUGUGA